rnacentral:rRNA from 1 species
CGCGGCCUAUCAGCUUGUUGGUGGGGUAACGGCCCACCAAGGCAUCGACGGGUAGCUGGUCUGAGAGGACGAUCAGCCACACUGGGACUGAGACACGGCCCAGACUCCUACGGGAGGCAGCAGUGGGGAAUAUUGCGCAAUGGGCGAAAGCCUGACGCAGCAACGCCGCGUGGGGGAUGACGGCCUUCGGGUUGUAAACCCCUUUCAGCAGGGACGAAAAUGACGGUACCUGCAGAAGAAGCCCCGGCCAACUACGUGCCAGCAGCCGCGGUAACACGUAGGGGGCGAGCGUUGUCCGGAUUUAUUGGGCGUAAAGAGCUCGUAGGCGGUUGCGUAAGUCGGAUGUGAAAACUCAGGGCUCAACCCGGAGACGCCAUCUGAUACUGCGCUGACUAGAGUCCGGUAGGGGAGCAUGGAAUUCCUGGUGUAGCGGUGACAUGCGCAGAUAUCAGGAGGAACACCAGUGGCGAAGGCGGUGCUCUGGGCCGGAACUGACGCUGAGGAGCGAAAGCGUGGGUAGCGAACAGGAUUAGAUACCCUGGUAGUCCACGCCGUAAACGUUGGGCACUAGGUGUGGGGCCUACUUAACGGGUUCCGUGCCGUAGCCAACGCAUUAAGUGCCCCGCCUGGGGAGUACGG